GAUGAACGCUAGCGGCAGGCUUAAUACAUGCAAGUCGAGGGACAGCACAGGUAGCAAUACUGGGUGGUAACCGGCAAAAGGGUGCGGAACACGUACACAACCUUCCUUUAAGUGGGGGAUAGCACAGAGAAAUUUGGAUUAAUACACCGUAAUAUAGUUGAAUGGCAUCAUUUGAUUAUUAUAGCUACGGCGCUUAAUGAUGGGUGUGCGGCUGAUUAGAUAGUUGGCGGGGUAACGGCCCACCAAGGCUACGAUCAGUAGUUGCUGUGAGAGCAUGAUCAGCCACACGGGCACUGAGACACGGGCCCGACUCCUACGGGAGGCAGCAGUAAGGAAUAUUUGUCAAUGGACGCAAGUCUGAACCAGCCAUGCCGCGUGAAGGAUUAAGGUCCUCUGGAUUGUAAACUUCUUUUAUUUGGAACGAAAAAGGGCCUUUCUAGGUCAACUGACGGUACCAGAUGAAUAAGCACCGGCUAACUCCGUGCCAGCCGCCGCGGUAAGAC
rnacentral:rRNA from 1 species